rnacentral:rRNA from 1 species
AGACUGACGCUCAGGUGCGAAAGCGUGGGGAGCAAACAGGAUUAGAUACCUGGUAGUCCACGCUGUAAACGAUGUCGAUUUGGAGGUUGUGCCAUGAGGCGUGGCUUCCGGAGCUAACGCGUUAAAUCGACCGCUGGGGAGUACGGCCGCAAGGUUAAAACUCAAAUGAAUUGACGGGGGCCCGCACAAGCGGUGGAGCAUGUGGUUUAAUUCGAUGCAACGCGAAGAACCUUACCUACUCUUGACAUCCAGAGAACUUUCCAGAGAUGGAUUGGUGCCUUCGGGAACUCUGAGACAGGUGCUGCAUGGCUGUCGUCAGCUCGUGUUGUGAAAUGUUGGGUUAAGUCCCGCAACGAGCGCAACCCUUAUCCUUUGUUGCCAGCGGUUCGGCCGGGAACUCAAAGGAGACUGCCAGUGAUAAACUGGAGGAAGGUGGGGAUGACGUCAAGUCAUCAUGGCCCUUACGAGUAGGGCUACACACGUGCUACAAUGGCGUAUACAAAGAGAAGCGACCUCGCGAGAGCAAGCGGACCUCAUAAAGUACGUCGUAGUCCGGAUUGGAGUCUGCAACUCGACUCCAUGAAGUCGGAAUCGCUAGUAAUCGUAGAUCAGAAUGCUACGGUGAAUACGUUCCCGGGCCUUGUACACACCGCCCGUCACACCAUGGGAGUGGGUUGCAAAAGAAGUAGGUAGCUUAACCUUCGGGAGGGCGCUUACCACUUUGUGAUUCAUGACUGGGGUGAAGUCGUAACAAGGUAACCA